rnacentral:rRNA from 1 species
GGGCUUACACAAGCGGUGGAGCAUGUGGUUUAAUUCGAUAUAACGCGCAGAACCUUACCAAUCCUUGGAAUAUACAUGGGGGUGCAGGUCUCUGCACGCUCUGAUGGUAUACAGGAGCUGCAUGGCUGUCGUCAGUUCGUGGCGUGAGCUGUCAGGUUAAGUCCUGAAACGAACGCAACCCUUAUUGUAGGAGAGCGCGUGGGUGCGCUACUGCAAGACUGCCAGUGACAUACGGGAGGAAGGUAAGGAUGACGUCAAGUCCUCAUGGCCCUUAUGGGUUGGGCUACACAUGUGCUACACUGGCGACUACAAUGCGAAGCGAUAUGGCAACAUGGAGCUACACGUGAAAGGUCGUCGGGUUCGGAUUGCUCUCUGCAACUCGAGAGCAUGAAGGUGGAAUCGCUAGUAA